rnacentral:rRNA from 1 species
AUGGCGGCGAUCGCGAGGGGGAGCGUGCGGGAGGUCCGCGUCAGCGACGUGGAGGCGGCCGGGCUCGCCGCUGCCGACGCGGGGCCCUUCCUCGCCGCGCUCCGCUCGGCGGUUGGAGGUCACGACGACGCGGCCGCCGUGUGGGCGGCGGUCGUGGCGGCACGGGUGCUGCGGCCGGACCACCCGCACGCGCUCCACCAGCUGGUGUACUAUUCCGUCUACGCCGGCUGGGACCGCGCCGCCCGGGGCCCGCCGCCCUACUGGUUCCCCUCCCCGACUGACUGCAAGCAAACAAAUCUUGGGAGAGUGAUGGAAGAGAAUGGACCUAAGUUGUUAGGGGCAUCAUAUAAGGAUCCAAUUUCAAGCUUUGGCCUCUUCCACAAGUUUGCCGUUGAGAAUCAGGAGGUCUACUGGAAAAUUGUGCUAAAGGAGCUCUCCAUCAAGUUCCUACGAGAACCAACGUCGAUCCUAGAUGCGUCGGAUAAAUCAAAGAAGGGAGGAACAUGGUUCCCAGGUGCAGUGCUCAACAUUGCUGAAUGCUGUCUCCUACCAUGGCCUUCCCAAAACAAGACAGAUGAUAGCACGGCAAUUUUAUGGAGGGAUGAGGGCUUCGAUGAUUAUCCGGUGAACCGUAUGUCAUUGAAGGAGCUUCGCACCCAAGUGAUGACUGUUGCAAAUGCCCUUGAUACCAUGUUCCAAAAGGGGGACCGUAUUGCAAUCGACAUGCCUAUGACAUGCAACGCGGUCAUUAUUUAUUUGGCAAUCAUCCUUGGAGGCUUUGUUGUUGUGUCAAUAGCAGACAGUUUUGCACCUCAGGAGAUUGGCACUCGCAUGAGGGUCGCAAAAGCAAAGGCAAUUUUUACUCAGGAUUUCAUAAUUAGGGGAGGGAAGAAAUUUCCUCUUUACAGCUGUGUCAUGAAAGGGACUUCAUGUAAAGCUAUUGUAAUUCCUGCAACCGGAGACUGUCUUGGAGUUACACUAAGGAAUGGCGAUAUGUCCUGGAAAGAUUUUCUUUCUCGUGCUGCUGGAAGGUCACCCAUGUACUCUCCAGUUUAUCAAUCUGCAGACGCCCUAAUUAAUAUACUGUUUUCAUCAGGAACAACUGGAGAGCCAAAAGCUAUACCAUGGACACAACUUUGUCCCAUCAGAUGUGGAGCUGAUACCUGGGCAAAUUUGGAUGUUCGCCCAAAGGACAUUAGCUGCUUGCCUACAAAUCUGGGUUGGGUAAUGGGACCUAUACAGUUGUUCUUAUGCUUUCUAAAUGGUGCGACAUUGGCUUUAUAUCAUGGUUCUCCACUUGGACGUGGUUUCUGCAAAUUUGUCCAGGAUGCCCAUGUGAGUGCAUUAGGAUCUGUGCCUAGCUUGGUGAAGUCAUGGAAGGCUGGGAAUCAUACUAAAGGGCUAGACUGGACCAAAAUCAGGGUACUUGCUACAACAGGGGAGGCUUCCGAUAUUGAUGAUAAUCUGUGGAUAUCUUCGCGGACCUGUUACAAGCCCAUUGUUGAAUGUUGUGGGGGCACAGAGCUGGCAUCCUCAUUCAUUCAGGGGAGUCUUUUGCAGCCACAAGUUUUUGGAGCUUUCAGUGGUGCAUCAAUGUCCACUGGAUUUGUCAUACUCGAUGAACAGGGAAAUCCAUAUCCUGAUGAUGUACCGUGUUCUGGAGAAGUCGGUCUCUUCCCUUUAUAUUUUGGUGCCACCGAUCGGCUUCUCAAUGCUGACCAUGAUAAGGUCUACUUCGAUGGAAUGCCCGUUUACAGAGGACGGCAACUCCGACGACACGGAGAUAUAAUCCAGAGGACAGCAGGUGGCUACUAUAUCACAAGUUCAGUGGAGAUUGAACGGGUUUGUAAUGGAGCCGACGAGGGUCUUCUAGAAACAGCAGCUGUUAGCGUCAAACCUCCCGGCGGGGGGCCAGAACAACUGGCUAUCCUGGCAGUGCUUAAAGAUAGAUCCGCAACCUAUGAUGCAAAUCUUCUGAAGGGAAAGUUCCAGAGAGCUAUCCAGAGGAACCUCAAUCCCCUUUUCAAGGUGAGCUAUGUGAAAGUCGUCCCCGAGUUCCCGAGAACCGCUUCGAACAAGCUGCUGAGAAGGGUCCUGAGGGAUCAGCUGAAGCGAGAACUCGGGAAUCGCAGCAAGCUAUAG